UACGUAGGGUGCGAGCGUUGUCCGGAAUUAUUGGGCGUAAAGGGCUCGUAGGCGGUUUGUCGCGUCGGGAGUGAAAACCCAGGGCUUAACCCUGGGCUGGCUUCCGAUACGGGCAGACUAGAGGUAUGCAGGGGAGAACGGAAUUCCUGGUGUAGCGGUGAAAUGCGCAGAUAUCAGGAGGAACACCGGUGGCGAAGGCGGUUCUCUGGGCAUUACCUGACGCUCAGGCGCGAAAGCUAGGGGAGCGAACAGG
rnacentral:rRNA from 1 species